rnacentral:rRNA from 1 species
AGAGCGUAGGGAGAAUGCCUUGGCAUUAGGAGCCGACGAAGGACGUGAUAAGCUGCGAUAAGCUGCGGGGAUCAGCAAGUAUGAAUUGAUCCGCAGAUUUCCGAAUGGAGCAAUCCGUAUGUGUAUGCACAUACAUCAUAUACUGAAUCAAAUAGGUAUAUGAGGGGAACCGCCUGAACUGAAACAUCUAAGUAGGGCGAGGAAGAGAAAUCAACCGAGAUUCUGUGAGUAGUGGCGAGCGAAAGCGGAAGAGGCUAAACCAUAGGUAGCAAUACUUAUGGGGUUUCGGACAGCAUUUAGUAUUGAUAAUUUCUAGUUGAAACGUGUGGGAAAACGUACCGAAGAGUGUGAGAGUCACGUAAGCGAAAGAGAAAGUCAGCGAGCUGUAUCCAAAGUACCGCGGGACACGUGAAACCCCGUGGGAAGAUGGGGGGACCAUCCUCCAAGCCUAAAUACUACCUAAUGACCGAUAGCGAAUAGUACUGUGAAGGAACGGUGAAAAGAACCCCGGGAGGGGAGUGAAAAAGAACCUGAAACCCUAUGCUUACAAGCACCGAGAGCACGUCAAAGUGUGAUCGGGUACCUUUUGUAGAAUGGUCCGGCGAGUUAUUGUAUGCGGCAAGGUUAAGUGCUUAAGGCACGGAGCCGAAGCGAGAGCAAGUCUGAACAGGGCGAAAAAGUCGUAUGCAAUAGACCCGAAACCGAGUGACCUAUCCAUGUCCAGGCUGAAGUGGAGGUAAAACUCCAUGGAGGGCCGAACACACGUCCGUUGAAAAGGCCGGUGAUGAGGUGUGGAUAGCGGAGAAAUUCCAAUCGAACUCGGAUAUAGCUGGUUCUCUCCGAAAUAGCUUUAGGGCUAGCCUCGUGAAAGAUUACUGGAGGUAAAGCACUGAAUGGGCUAGGGGUCGAAAGAUUACUGAACCCUAUCAAACUAAGAAUGCCAGAUAAUUGAUUCACGGGAGUCAGACAAUGUGAGAUAAGUCUCAUUGUCAAAAGGGAAACAGCCCAGACCCACAGCUAAGGUCCCUAAACAUUGUUAAGUGGAAAAGGAUGUGGGGUUGCAUAAACAACCAGGAUGUUGGCUUAGAAGCAGCCACUCAUUAAAAGAGUGCGUAAUAGCUCACUGGUCGAGUGACCCUGCGCCGAAAAUUCAACGGGGCUAAACAAUGUACCGAAGCUUGGGAUUCUAGAUUUAUCUAGAGUGGUAGGAGAGCGUCGAAUAAGGGGUGAAGUCAGAGCGGAAGCGCUGGUGGACUUUAUUCGAGUGAGAAUGCCGGAAUGAGUAGCGAGAAUUAUGUGAGAAUCAUAAUGGCCGAAAAUCUAAGGUUUCCUGAGGAAGGUUCGUCCGCUCAGGGUAAGCCGGGGGCUAAGGCGAGGCGGAGACGCGUAGCCGAUGCACAUACGGUUGAAAUUCCGUAGCCACCGAAAGAUUUAAGUACAGGGACGCUUUAGAAGUGAUGUAGCCGGGCGAUGGUUGACCCGGUCGUAAGGGAUCGAAAAUGAGUAGAGAAGUCAUCAUGGAAAGAGACAAGAAAAGCUGUAUGAAUAUCUUAGGUGCCCGUACCGCAAACCGACACAGGUAGAUAGGAAGAAGAUUCUAAGGCCAACGGGAGAAGGGUUGUUAAGGAACUCGGCAAGUUGACCCCGUAACUUAGGGAUAAGGGGUGCUCAAGUGAUUGAGCCGCAGAGAAUAGGCCCAGGCGACUGUUUAGCAAAAACACAGGUCUCUGCUAAAUCGAAAGAUGACGUAUAGGGGCUGACACCUGCCCGGUGCCGGAAGGUUAAGAGGAGAUGUGAGAGCAUUGAAUUGAAGCCCCGGUAAACGGCGGCCGUAACUAUAACGGUCCUAAGGUAGCGAAAUUCCUUGUCAGGUAAGUUCUGACCCGCACGAAUGGCGUAAUGAUUUGGGCACUGUCUCAACAGCCCGCCCGGCGAAAUUGUAGUACUGGUGAAGAUGCCAGUUACCCGCAACUAGACGGAAAGACCCCAUGGAGCUUUACUUUCCGCUCGCCAAGAUAUCCCUCCAGAUGAUCGUCGAUCUUCACGGGACCUACGCCAGCAGGUGUUCCGGUAUAAAUCAAAUCGCCUAUUUUCAGCGUAAAGAAGCGACUUACGUACGCGAUAAUCUUAUCUACCGAAAACAGCAUAUUCGAGGUAUUACCUUCCUGUACCUUCGAGCCAUUGAUAUCCAGAUGGAACGGAAGCCGGUUUACAUCCCCCGCUUGCUCCAGCGGAAUAAAGGUCCCGAUCACAGCCGAAUUAUCAAACGCCUUACUAAUCUCCCACGGUAGCCCUUGCGCACGCAAUUUAUUCUGCAAAUCCCGUGCCGUGAAAUCAAUACCGACCGUAACCUCAUUGUAAUAACGAUGAGCGAAACGCUCGGCUAUAUUUUUCCCCAAACGGUCUAUCCGUACCACGAUCUCCGUCUCAUAAUGAACUUCCGAUGAAAAAUCCGGAAUAAAAAACGGUUUCCCAUCUUUCAACAAAGAGGAGUCCGACUUCAUAAAAAUAGUAGGCUCUGAUAAUUCUAACGAAUGAUGCAGCUCUUUAUUGUGAGCGGCAUAGUUCAUUCCAACGGCGAUAAUCUUCAUAUUUUAGUGAUUCAUUGAGUUCAAUCGAUUAAACAUAACAGCUAAAUGCGCAUACAUAG